rnacentral:rRNA from 1 species
AGUCUGGCCUGCCCAAUGAUUCUUGAAUGGCCGCAGUAUUUUGACUGUGCAAAGGUAGCAUAAUCAUUAGUUUUUUGAUUGAAAGCUGGAAUGAAAGGUUUGAUGAGAAAAUAACUGUCUCUAUGUGAAUGUAUUAGAAUUUCAAUUUUAAGUGAAAAAGCUUAAAUUUUUUAUAAAGACGAGAAGACCCUAUAGAGUUUUAUAAUUGAUUAAAUAUAAAAGUUAUUGAAUUUAUUUUUUUAUUUUUAUUUAAUUAUUUUGUUGGGGCGAUGGAAAAAUUUGAAAAACUUUUUUUUGUUUGUAACAUUGAUUUAUGAUUAUUUGAUCCUUUUUUUUGGAUUACAAGAUUAAAUUACCUUAGGGAUAACAGCGUAAUUUUUUUUGGAGAGUUCUUAUCGAUAAAAAAGUUUGCGACCUCGAUGUUGGAUUAAAAUUAAAUUUUGGUGUAGAAGCUAAAAUUUUAGGUCUGUUCGACCUUUGAAAUUUU